rnacentral:rRNA from 1 species
CCUCGGGAGGCAGCAGUGGGGAAUAUUGGACAAUGGGCGAAAGCCUGAUCCAGCAAUGCCGCGUGAGUGAUGAAGGCCUUAGGGUCGUAAAGCUCUUUUACCCGGGAUGAUAAUGACAGUACCGGGAGAAUAAGCCCCGGCUAACUCCGUGCCAGCAGCCGCGGUAAUACGGAGGGGGCUAGCGUUGUUCGGAAUUACUGGGCGUAAAGCGUGCGUAGGCGGUUAUUCAAGUCAGAGGUGAAAGCCCGGGGCUCAACCCCGGAACGGCCUUUGAAACUAGGUAGCUAGAAUCUUGGAGAGGUCAGUGGAAUUCCGAGUGUAGAGGUGAAAUUCGUAGAUAUUCGGAAGAACACCAGUGGCGAAGGCGACUGACUGGACAAGUAUUGACGCUGAGGCACGAAAGCGUGGGGAGCAAACAGGAUUAGAUACCCUGGUAGUCCACGCCGUAAACGAUGAUAACUAGCUGUUCGGGUACUUGGUAUCUGAGUGGCGCAGCUACGACAUUAAGUUAUCCGUCCGUCGGGUAGGUACGGUCGCGAGAGUAAACUAACAAAUAGAAGUUAGACGGCGUGUAGACGUUGCGAACGACGACGACGAGGGAGGAGG